CACAAACACACAAAUACUUCAUUUUGGCAGUUGUUUUCACUGGUCCUCAGAUUUUGUCCAGCGGUGUACGAUGUGCUUCUCUCAGAUUAUCUCUAUUUAAUCCACUCAGAAGCCUUGAUCAACCAUGGGAUUUAGAAGAAGGUUCUUGCCCAAGGUGUCAUACAGUGGGAAAAAACUGGUGGUUGAUGUUUGGAAGAGCAUCCAGCUGUAAAAUCCCUUUCCUAAAUAGACAAUAGCCCAGGGGAGUUUUUUCUACCUGGACGGCUCCUUGAAUGCAUGGAAGGUGGACGGUAUGUGGUGAUGAUGAUGAUGAUGUUAGUAAAUAUAUAUAUAUAUAUAUAUAAUAUAAUUUUAUAUAUAUACAUAAUGGAAACUUAUUAAAUAAUUAUGAAAUAGUCAUAAAGAUAUUUGCAAAAAUUUAUAAAGUAAGCACUUGUUGAUAGAGUCUGUCGAAAUAUUAGCAAAGUAGAUGAGAUCAAAUCAAAGAUCAAUACAGGAAGUUUUAUUGUACAAACUCUGUGUCAUUGAUACUUUUACUGGUUUUCCUAAAUCUACCUGUCUUUAGAGAAUCAACUUGUUUUUAAUAUAAAGUGCCCCCCACCCCAGCUGGGGUAUGUUCCACAGAUUUAUAGCUCAAGAUGUAAGCAGAGGAAUGUACCUAACCUAGACACACAACACAAUGACUGUUGUUAGGUUUAUUAGUGUCAAGAAGAACAUUCAGCUAUGAAUAAUACUUUAGAUAAACUGAAGUUUACAAUAUCAAUGUUAUCUUUUGCAAGACUUUAGAACCAUCAACUUCUGUUUAUUGUUGUUUAACUCAUUUUAUAAAUGUUUUAAAAACUGUUUUGCUUUCUUUCUUUUUUGACUGAUUUUAUUCAAAAGACAUGGCGAAUAUCAGACAGAACAUUUUGAAUGGUGACAUUGAAGGAGUGGAAAGACUCUUAAAAAUGGAUCCAACAAUAAUUAAUAAACCUAUUAUGGAGAUGGAACAACUCCUUUAAUCUUUGCCUCUGAAGUGGGCGCCGAUCGAAGAAUCAUCGAAAUAUUGAUAAAAGCUGGUGCGGAGUUAGGAGCGAAAGACGUCGGGGGUCGUACAGCUUUGCAUUGGGCUGUGAUUUGGAAUCACCUUCAAGCUGUGGAGCUAUUACUCUCUCGGGGCAGCAAUGUCAACGAGAAGACCAACCGCGGAGAUACUCCUCUCCAUUUGGCUGCAGGGUCAGAUCCGGAAUGGACAGAUGGUGUGAAAUCUAUAAUGAAACAGAGCGCUGUUGAGGUUAAUGUAAAUGGUCGGUCGAACACCGCUGCACUGGGCCUGUUAUCGGGGAUACUUGCACACGUCGAUC